rnacentral:lncRNA from 1 species
AUGGCAGAAAUGUACCCUCUCAAGCUUCUGGAGGCUGGAAGUCCAGAACCUGCUCCUUCUGGAGGCUCUGACAAAGAAUUUGCUUCCUGUUAUCUCUUAGCAUACCACACAAUUGCACUCAUCUCACAUGCUAGUAAAGUAAUGCUCAAAAUUCUCCAAGCCAGACUUCAACAAGACAUAAACUGUGAACUUCCAGAUGUUCAAGCUGGUUUUAGAAAAGGCAGAGGAACCAGAGAUCAAAUUGCCAACAUCGCUGGAUCAUUGGAAAAGCAAGAGACUUCCAGAAAAACAUCUACUUUUGCUUUAUUGACUAUGCCAAGGCCUUUGACUGUGUGGAUCACAAUAAACUGUGGGAAAAUUCUGAAAGAGAUGGGAAUACCAGACCGCCUGACUUGCCUCUUGAGAAAUCUGUAUGCAGGUCAGGAAGCAACAGUUAGAACUGGACAUGAAACAACAGACUGGUUCCAGAGAGGGAAAGGAGUACAUCAAGGCUGUAUAUUGUCACCCUCUUUAUAUAACUUAUAUGCAGAGUACAUCAUGAGAAAUGCUGGGCUAGAUGAAGCCCAAGCUGAAAUCAAGAUUGCUGGGAGAAAUAUCAAUAACCUCAGAUAUGCAGAUGACACCACCCUUAUGGCAGAAAGUGAAGAAGAACUAAAGAGCCUCUUGAUGAAAGUGAAAGAGGAGAGUGAAAAGGUUGGCUUAAAGCUCAACAUUCAGAAAACGAAGAUCAUGGCAUCUGGUCCCAUCACUUCAUGGGAAACAGUGGAAACAGUGGCUGACUUUAUUUGGGGGGGCUUCAAAAUCACUGCAGAUGGUGACUGCAGCCAUGAAAUUAAAAGACACUUACUCCUUGGAAGAAAAGUUAUGACCAACCUAGACAAUGUAUUAAAAAGCAGAGACAUUACUUUGCCAACAAAGUUCUGUCUAGUCAAAGCUAUGGUUUUUCCAGUAGUCAUGUAUGAAAGUGAGAGUUGGACUAUAAAGAAAGCUGAGCACCGUCCAUCCUAA